UACGGGGGGGGCAAGCGUUGUUCGGAAUUACUGGGCGUAAAGGGCGCGUAGGCGGCCUUCUAAGUCGGACGUGAAAUCCCUCGGCUUAACCGAGGAACUGCGUCCGAGACUGAAAGGCUUGAAUCCGGGAGAGGGAUGUGGAAUUCCAGGUGUAGCGGUGAAAUGCGUAGAUAUCUGGAGGAACACCGGUGGCGAAGGCGGCAUCCUGGACCGGUAUUGACGCUGAGGCGCGAAAGCCAGGGGAGCAAACGGG
rnacentral:rRNA from 1 species